rnacentral:rRNA from 1 species
UACGGAGGGUGCGAGCGUUGUCCGGAAUCACUGGGCGUAAAGCGCGCGUAGGCGGCUUUGCAAGUCGAGUGUGAAAUCCCCAGGCUCAACCUGGGAACUGCAUUCGAGACUGCAUAGCUAGAGUAUGGGAGAGGGAAGUGGAAUUUCAGGUGUAGCGGUGAAAUGCGUAGAUAUCUGAAGGAACAUCAGUGGCGAAAGCGACUUCCUGGACCAAUACUGACGCUCAUGUGCGAAAGCGUGGGGAGCAAACAGG